rnacentral:rRNA from 1 species
UACGGAGGGUGCAAGCGUUAUCCGGAAUCACUGGGCGUAAAGCGUCUGUAGGUGGUUUAAUAAGUCAACUGUUAAAUCUUGAGGCUCAACCUCAAAAUCGCAGUCGAAACUGACUAGCUAGAGGACGGCAGAGGAAGGUGGAAUUCCAAGUGUAGAGGUGAAAUUCGUAGAUAUUUGGAGGAAUACCUGUGGCGAAGGCGGCCUUCUGGACCGGUCCUGACGCUGAGGUGCGAAAGCGUGGGGAGCAAACAGG